UAGAAAUUUUAUGAUUUGAAAAAUUUAUUUUAAAUUUAUUUUACAUAUAAAUUUUAGUAUGAAUUUUAUAUUAUUUUAAUAAUAUUAUAAAAUUAAAGUAGUAAUUAAUAUUAAAAAUUUAAGAAAUUAAGAUUUAGUAAUAUUUAUAAAUUAUAAACAAAUUUUGUGCCAGCAGUUGCGGUUAUACAAAAUAUAAUUUAAAUUGUAUUAGUAAUUAAUUAAUAUAAAAAUUAAUAAAAUUAAAUAUAAAAUUAUUAAGUGAAAUUUUAAUUUAUAAAAAUUUUAAAUUAUAUUAUGUUUUAAAAAAUUUUAUAAAAGACUAGGAUUAGAUACCCUAUUAUUAAAAAUUAAAUUAAAAUACUAAAAUAGUAAUUAAUAAUUUAUUGAAACUUAAAUAAAUUGGCGGUAUUUUAGUUCAUUUAGAGGAAUCUGUUUAAUAAUUGAUAAUCCACGAAUAAAUUUACUUAAUAUAUAAUUUUGUAUAUCGUUGUUAAAAAAAUAUUUUUUAAUAAUAAUAAUAUUUUAAAAUUUUAAUAAAAAUUAGUUCAGAUCAAGAUGCAGAUAAUUAUUAAGAAUAUAAUGGAUUACAAUAAUAUAAUAAUUAAAUGAAUAAUAAUUUGUAAAAAUUAUUUGAAGGUGGAUUUAAAUGUAAUUUUAUUAAUUUUAUUAAAAUGAUUUUAAAUUAAAAUAUGUACAUAUUGCCCGUCGCUUUCAUUAAUAAAUUGAAAUAAGUCGUAACAAAGUAGAGGUACUGGAAAGUGUUUCUAGAAAGAA
rnacentral:ncRNA from 1 species